rnacentral:rRNA from 1 species
GACGAACGCUGGCGGCGUGCUUAACACAUGCAAGUCGAACGGAAAGGCCCUGCUUUUGUGGGGUGCUCGAGUGGCGAACGGGUGAGUAACACGUGAGUAACCUGCCCUUGACUUUGGGAUAACUUCAGGAAACUGGGGCUAAUACCGGACAGGAGCUCCUGCUGCAUGUUGGGGGUUGGAAAGUUUCGGCGGUUGGGGAUGGACUCGCGGCUUAUCAGCUUGUUGGUGGGGUAGUGGCUUACCAAGGCUUUGACGGGUAGCCGGCCUGAGAGGGUGACCGGGCACAGUGGGACUGAGAUAGGGCCCAGACUCCUACGGGAGGCAGCAGUGGGAAAUAUUACAAAAUGGGCGGAAGCCUGAUGCAGCAACGCCGCGUGCGGGAUGACGGCCUUCGGGUUGUAAACCGCUUUCGCCUGUGACGAAGCGUGAGUGACGGUAAUGGGUAAAGAAGCACCGGCUAACUACGUG